rnacentral:rRNA from 1 species
UACGUAGGGGCCAAGCGUUGUCCGGAUUUAUUGGGCGUAAAGAGCGUGUAGGCGGCUGGGUAGGUCCGUUGUGAAAACUCGAGGCUCAACCUCGAGACGCCGAUGGAAACCCCCCAGCUAGAGUCCGGAAGAGGGGAGUGGAAUUCCUGGUGUAGCGGUGAAAUGCGCAGAUAUCAGGAAGAACACCCGUGGCUAAGGCGGCUCUCUAGUACGGUACUGACGCUGAGACGCGAAAGCGUGGGGAGCGAACAGG